UAUGGUAUUAGCUAAGCUAAAGGAUGGGGGAGACCUGCCCAGCAUAACAAGACUGGUCAUGAGGUCCAUAUUGACCAAUGGAAUAAUGUCAAAGUAUAGUUUGACCGGUCAAAGAGGGAAGACUCCCUUUAAAGGAACGAGAACCUGUAAAGUCAUCUUGAGGGCCUUGAAAAGAGCAACAAAAAACCGUUUUCCUGUAAAGGAUUAUGAGUUUGAAAUAGCAGAAGUUUUAAGGAAUGCUCCAAACUGUCCAGGAGGCGUAAACUUUUUGAAGAAAAACGCAAACAAGAAGAGAAGAAGUACUGUAGAGGAUUCAGACUCAAAUUAAGACAAUGUCAAAUCACUUGAGAAUACAACACACUACUGGAAAUAAUAAAAAUGCUACAUUCC